CUAGGGAACGUGAGCUGGGAGCUAAGGUCUCAGCUUCUGCCCACGGGA
rnacentral:precursor_RNA from 1 species